CGGAAGGAUACGAAGCGGCAACAACGACGGCGGAUUCGGCACGAUAAGAGCGAUCUGGAACCACCAAGGCCUGUAGCAUCUCCGAGAAAUAAUAGCUUAGUCUUCUUCGUGUCGUGAUCUUCUCCGGUUGUCGAUUAGAUCCUGCUCGUCGAGGACGGAGGCGAUCCCACUCUGAGUUCGCCACGCGCCUGUCCAUUGUAAACCUCGAUCGGAGGCUCUGAUUUCCUUUUCUCAAAGGCUCUGAAGUCUUCGAGGCCUAUUUUUCUUUUCCCUGCGGCAAAAUCAAUCCCGAUUGCUUCCAGCAUGACAGAGGUAUUUUUCAUUCCUCAAAUUAGGGUUUAGUAUUGUUAUUGCCAUUUUUUUGGGUUUUAUAUGCUGAUUAUAAACGGAUUUCGGAUGAUUUUCACCCCGAUGUUCCCUCUCCUUUAGCAUUGCCUAAACCCUCUCCCUCUCUCGUUUCUUCCCUGUGUAGCAGCUGUGCUCAUAAAAACUUUAUCUUGUUUCUUCUCUAUAAAUUUCGGCGCUCUAACAUCAAUCUCGGUCUCCCUCCCCCCUUUCCGCUCCAAUCCUCACAGAAACACACUCUCCUUUUUUUUUUUUUUUUUAUGAAGCCUCCACUCCAACCCUCUUAUUGAAACUCUCUCCUGCUUUGUUUCUCAACAUUCUCGGUGACACAAAACCUCCUUGUUUGACAUCGUCCUCCCUGUCCUCCCCCAUUGUUGCCCCUCUCAGUCCCUCCAUUGAUUGUGGGCUGGUUGCCAAAUUUUCCGGAAACAUUUCAUUGCUUGUGGAACUACUUGACUGUGGAGUUGAUUCCUACAGAGUAGGGAAACUCCAAAGAGGCCACGAAAGAAUAAUAUGUUGCCUCAAAUCCAUACUUGAAGGGCAGAAAAGAGGUCCAUUUCUUGUCUCCCCGUUGUUGAUUAAUUGGUUUAACAUCUAACUUCAGGUUAUUCAUUGAUUUGGCUUUCAAUAUCCAAUUCUUGUGACCAAUAAAUUUCGAGCAUGUAUGUUGUCUUUUAUAAUCAUUGAUCUGAAACGAAAAAUGUUACAACACCAAAGAAGUUUACCUUCCACAGGGAGGCAAAUCACUAAAUAAUGACCACAGCAAAUGUUGUCAAAACAAGUGGCAGAUAAUUUGUUGGAAUGGAUAGAAAAUUGUCAGUGACUAAUCCUUCGGGCACUUUCUAAUGGAACUAAUGCUUAAAUUGGACACAUCCACAUGAUAUUUGACUGAAACUUGGGAUCAGAAGAAGCAUUUGUCGAUUGGGGACAAAUUAAUCAAGUUUCAGAUCAAGGAUGUCUAAUUAAACUAAGAUUGCAAUGCUACGGAUGCAUUGUGUGAUCCACAAAGAAAGAAUAGACUUGUAUAUUCCAUAGUAUCUAUUUUUCCAGUGAGUAAUUGACUACUGGCCUUUGAAAGACAUAAUAAAACUGGUGUCAAAGUAAUAACGGCGAUGACACCACAUUGGUGAUCUUGGUAAUAUAUCUUUCCACACUAUUCUGACUAUUUCCUAAAAUCAUUACCUAUGGCCAAUAGAAAAUUGAAUUUCCACUUGGAGUCUUGGUUUCUAUGUGGCUUUAUCUCACACAAGUACAAAGGGUAAAUAAAAGAGUCUAACUAUCAAAGCAUCAUUCUACCUUUACUACCCCUAUUCAUUUAGAUAAAUUCUGGUUCAAAAAGACCAUUAUCAUCUUCUCCAACUUUGUCAAUCUUCUCCUCAUGACUAGCAGCAGGGGAAGGAUCUUCGGGAGAGAGCAUGGAUUUGAUGGUAGAGGAGAUUACCUUGAGGCAGAGAGGGUUAUAUGACUAAAAGGCCCAUGAGGACUUCAACGUCGCUAGGUAGUGAGGAAGAGGUUGAGAGACCUGAUGACAAGGGAGAAGACGACCUUACACAAAGACGAUGAUUAUUUAGGUUUAUUUGAAUUGGUCCAAAUCGAUUUAGGAAGGGUAUAUUGGUAGGUAACAACAAAUAGGGGCCCCUUUGAUUAUUUUUGAAAAAAAAGUGGUGUCCCCUCCCUUUAUAAUUUUAAAAAGGGGUGUUCUUUGAUGACCUUAAAUCUAUUCAAACAUAUAUAUAUAUAGAACAAAAUAUAUAAAUAUAAAAAUCUAAUAUCGUGAGUGAGAAAUGCAAGUGGAGAAACCCACCUCUAGGCCAAGAACCAGGUUAUAUCCUGUUAUAGUGUUGUUUCCAGCUCCCCCUACCAACUGCACUCCUCCCCAACCCCUGGUGCCAUCCCACAAAUCGAGUCCCUCCCGCUCUUCCACGAUGUGCCCGUACUCGAGUGCCAGGCGCUCUUUCUCGGCAACCGGAUCUGCUCUGUGCUCUUCGACUUCUCUGACACGCUCAAGUCGGCCCGCGAGAAGGAGGUGAAGCGGCAGACGCUGUCGGAGCUCGUCGACUUCGUGCAAUCCGGCUCCGGCCGGCUCAACGAGCAGGUACAGGAAGAGCUCGUCCGACUGUGUCUUCAUAAGAUCGACUCGGUGUGAUGUGUAUGGCCAGGAGAAGAACUACCGUGAAAGGGUGAUGCUGAUAUACGACGGCCUACAUUAUGAUGCAUUAGCUAUGUCUCCAUAUGAUGGGGCGCCUGAAGGGUUUGAUCAAACUAUUUUUUCUGUUAGAAGUGACUGUUCCAUUGGAUCUGUGGAGAACUUUGCACUUAAUCUGGUUAAAGAUGCCCAAAAAUCUCUUCAAUAGACCUCUUUCUUCCCACGAGGUUCAGAUUGUCGCAGGUCCUUGGGAGUGUUUGGCGAGCUAACUUACAAUCACUGCAUGAAGGAGUACUGCAACGAUGAGAGAUGAUGAUCCAAAGAAAAGCAAGUUUCUUGGGAGCAGCUGUCUUGGUCCAAGGCCUUUGUUAAAAAAUGGUUCAACAUCAAGAGCAAAGGUCAGGAUAACCAUGCCGAUGAAAUUGCUAGCAAAGGUGUGUCUGAUCUCUUCUUCUUAUUCAAUUCCAGUUUAUUUUAAUUUUAAUACAGUUAGAAUAUUUUUCUAAAUUGAUUGUUUUUGUUGGUCGUCGUAUUCUAUUGUUGUUAUAUGUUUGGUGCUUUAUGAUUUGUUUGUUUAUGAUUGUGAACUUGUUUUAAUUGAUUAAGGGUACAAUUGUUAUAUAUACGUAUUGAGAAAAUUAGAUAUUCAUUAAACUAUUCCAUCCUAUAAAUACUCCCUCGGAGCCUCGUCCUCUACCGCAUCCGUGUCUGAAGAUCGCGACGAUCUCUCUCUUUCCGAUCCCGAUCACUACGCCCUCAUCGCUUCCGAUUCCUUCGUCAAGAAAUAUGAGCGGACAAUAGGAGAACGUUGCAGCUCCAAAGUUGAAUGAAAGGAUAUUGUUGUCAUUGUCCAAGAGAUCAGUGGUUGCCCAUCCUUGGCAUGAUCUUGAAACAGGUAAAGAGGCCCCUGUUGUGUUCAAUGUGUUUACAAAUUUCAAGUACUC